ACUGGUAUAACUCUUGGUGCUAUUUGGGGUUGCUAAAAAUGAAAUAAGGAAGGGAAGGGGACAGAAGAUAAAAAUGGAGGGAGGAUAAAGGGGAGAACAUGAGAGUGGCAAGUUAAAAGUAGGGCACUAGAGCAGAAGACAGAAGGAAAGCGAGGCAUACAAGGUAAGGGAAAGGUAAGAAGGAGGCGAGAAGAGAACCUGUGUGAUUUCCAACAUCUAAGUGUGGACAGGAGAGAUUGUCUGUAAAAGGGAGAAGACAUGGUCACGAGGAAAGGGGGUGCUAGCAAAUUUUCAUCAUGGAAGCCUAAGGUAAAAUUUUCAGAGAAGGAUGUUUAAUGUAAGUGAUAUCUAAAAUGGCCAAGAUCAAUCAUGAUGAUAAGUGAAAACUGACCAGCCAAUGUAAGCAGUUCAUCUUCCGAGCAGAUUUAUUUUUCACUGUAACCAAAUGUAUUUACAUGCUCCUGGAAAAAGUGUUCUCCCGUGAGCUUUGUUAGUGUGUUUUCACCAAGGAACUGCUAUCUGGGUUGCCCACACUGUGUAGAGUUUUUGUCCUGAAAAGCUAAAGUCCAUAUAUUGAAGAAAACCUACCACAUAAAGAUGUUUCCUAGAAUACCCGUCAUGAUCAAAGGUUUGCAGCUGUAGUGGAACUAACUAAUGGAUGCUUCAUUUUGUUUCUUUGGCCGUCACUAUUUGUCUGGUUGUUUAUAGAAGCCGAGAAGCAGAACCCCUAUGGCUGAAGACUGGUCCUGAUAGAGAUUCUUCUUCUAAUCUUCUCAAACCAGGAAGGUGUUCAGGUCACUCUGUAAAUGAUUCAAAGACAGAUACUAUGUAAAGUUACAUUUUUCCUUUAAAAUCCAGUCUGUAAGCAAAUUUUAUGCCUUAUUUUAAAUAACAAGAUAUGUAGCUUUGGCAACAUGUCAUCUUAUUUGGAUAGGCUAUGCCAACAGGACCCAACCAGAGCAAGCCAAAAAAGAUCUUUGAAUGACAGACAGCUUAAGAAGAACAGAAUCUGUUAGAGAAAAUAAGAGAAAAGGAGAAAUGUACUGAGCAGAGAGCUUCCACACAAGGCUGUUGGGUUCAUUCACCACAUACCAAGGGAACACUACCAAGUAAAUAUUAUAAAUAAAAUACGGGCCCAAUCCAAUGAGUGACCUGUUUUGGGAAGCAAACAUGUUAAAAGAAACCCUACUUGAAAGUUAAAGACUACAAUUGCAUUUUAGAAUAUAGACUAGUGCUACCAAUUGUGAUUGUCCUCCUGAACGCUAUGCUUUUGUGACAGUUAAUGGAAUUUAAAAAGGAAAAGUAAACGUAUCUAUAACCUAACUUUUGUAAUGGAAAGGAUUGGAUUGGAAUGGAAUCCUAAUACAUUAUUUCUCUCAGAAUUAAGUCCAUUGUUCUUAACCUGUUAUUCUUCAGUGACCUCGCAGGACUGCAAGCUACCUAAAACUGAAUGUAAGAUUUUGUGA
rnacentral:lncRNA from 1 species